GCCUGGGUGGCGGAAUAGGUAGACGCGUUGGUCUCAAACACCAAUGAUGGCAACAUCGUGCCGGUUCGAGCCCGGCCCCAGGUA
rnacentral:tRNA from 1 species